rnacentral:rRNA from 1 species
GACGAACGCUGGCGGCGUGCUUAACACAUGCAAGUCGAACGGAAAGGCCCUGCCUUUGUGCGCUGCUCGAGUGGCGAACGGGUGAGUAACACGUGAGUAACCUGCCCUUGACUUUGGGAUAACUUCAGGAAACUGGGGCUAAUACCGCAUAGGAGCUCCUGCUGCAUGGUGGUGGUUGGAAAGUUUCGGCGGUUGGGGAUGGACGCGCGGCUUAUCAGCUUGUUGGUGGGGUAGUGGCUUACCAAGGCCUUGACGGGUAGCCGGCCUGGGAGGGUGACAGGCCACAUUGGGACUGAGGUGCGGCCCGGACUCCUACGGGAGGCAGCGGUGGGGAAUAUUGCACAAUGGGCGGAAGCCGGAUGCAGCAACGCCGCGUGCGGGAUGACGGCCUUCGGGUUGGAAACCGCUUUCGCCUGUGACGAAGCGUGAGUGACGGUAAUGGGUAAAGAAGCACCGGCUAACUACGUG